AAGACAAACUGAAAUCUGAGUGCAGAGACGGGAAUAAGUGCUGUACAGUGACGACAGACAAGAGGAUAAGAAUGGACACUCAUAUGUCAAGCUUGAUGAGGAUAUUGUCAAAAGAUCCUGUGAUAAAGAAGUCUUCAAAUACUACAGUGUCUGAAUUGCAAGCCCUUAGUUGCAGAACAUGCAAGUCGUACUCACAGAAGUGACCUCGUCCCACCGGCUCCCCCUUGGUCAGUCGUCACUCUACUUCUGCC